rnacentral:rRNA from 1 species
AAUCAACGCUGGCGGCGUGCCUCAGACAUGCAAGUCGAACGCGAAAUUUCCCUUCGGGGAGAAAGUAGAGUGGCGCACGGGUGAGUAACACGUAGGUAAUCUACCUCUGGGUGGGGAAUAACAGCCGGAAACGGCUGCUAAUACCGCAUAAUGCAGCGGCACCGAAUGGUGACAGUUGUUAAAGCGGGGGACCGAAAGGGCCUCGCGCCUGGAGAGGAGCCUGCGGCAGAUUAGCUAGUUGGUGAGGUAAUGGCUCACCAAGGCAACGAUCUGUAGCCGGCCUGAGAGGGCGGUCGGCCACACUGACACUGACAUACGGGUCAGACUCCUACGGGAGGCAGCAGUCGGGAAUUUUGGGCAAUGGGCGAAAGCCUGAACCAGCAACGCCGCGUGAAGGAUGAAAUCCCUCGGGAUGU